ensembl:lncRNA
GUCAGUGAACUCUCACUUGAGAGAUGUAGAAUCCAAUGACCUCUUUCUGAGAAGCAGAGUAAAAUCCCUUUAUUCUCCUUGGCAUAAUAUAAUUCAAAAUUUUGUAUUUCUCUGUGUACAUUUGUAUAAAAUGCUAUAUCCCCCAGAAGUUAAUUCAGAUGAAAUCAACACUAAAAUAAUAAUAAUUACAGACAUAAUGUUGAAAAAUUAGCACUUCACUUUCCUGUUGAUCAACAUGAAACAGAAAUCAUUAAUUUUUUUAAAAAAAGAGAUUUGAUAGUUCUAGAAGCUUAUGGGUACUAAACAAUAGGUAGAAAAAAGACUUUAAAUAUGUGAUCUGUUUAUGAAAGAACUUCACAGUGAUUUGCUAGGAAACCUACUUUGUUCUUAAUUAAGCAAUAAAGUCCAGGAGGAUCACUUUAAUCUUGCAAAUAUUUAUCUAGUCAGUUUAAGACUUUUCUUCUUAGAAGUAACCUUGUGCCAAACAAGAAUAUUUUCAGUGAGCCCCUAAAUCCCCAAGCUCAUUAGCAUAGAAUGAAUGAGCUUUGGAUAUAUGAAAGAAGGUGUGAGCGUGCUUAACACAAAGAGUUCCGGAGCCUUUGUAUCAGAAGCACAGUUCUGACUCUAAGGCACUGAGCUAUGUGCACUGACUUUCAAGUACAUCUAUUGAGGCAAUGAGUAAAACCUGCUGCUGCUGCUGCUGCUGACUUCAUUUCAAGGCUGAAGCCAGGACUUGCUUCUUUUGGGGAUCAUGAAAAUGAAACUAAAAUCCCACCAUGUUUUUGAGGUUGUCAUUUGAGAAGGCAUUCUAUUGCAAAGUUUUACUAGGAAUUCAUGUAAUGAUGUUCAAAAUGUCUUCUUUGGGAAUAAUCAGAAAGGGAGACUUUCAAACACACUUUGUGAUGCUAGCUUUUAAAAAUAAAUGCUCUUCAAUGAAGAUAAUGCGUAAAUGGUAGUCACACAUCCCAACAAUCACUAAAAUCACCAAACUUCUAAAGCCUCAAAGGAAGUGUUUCACCACACAAGAAGUUAAAUAUGCUUUGUUGAUAAUUUACACUUUAGGUCAUAGUUUCAUCAGUCUGUUCACUUAAUUUCCACAUCCUACUUGCUCAGGAGUCAAUGUACUAGGGCAGAAUAGUGCAACCAGAGAAGCCUGUUCAACCUCUUUUCUCAAUGAGUCUCUGGUCCAAUGGCAAACACAGAAAGAAAACGGCAUUUACACAAAAGCCUAGUUGCCAUCUGCAAGAUGGAGAACAGAAAGCAUUCAAGUGUUGGAGCCUGGCAGACUUGAAAUCAAAUCCUACCUAGACGUUGGCUAGCUCAUCCUACUUCCUCCUCAAUUCAACAAGAGCCUUCCAUGCCUCUGUGGAAAGAACUUGUCUGAGGAUUAAUGGGAAUAAAGUUUGGGAAAGGCUUGGCAGGAAGUAAUCAAAUCGACCACACAAAACUGACUACAGGAAGUAUUCAAAUAGAACACAAAAAACUGACUAACAAAAUUUGGCAGUGAGAAACUUUUCCUCUAUUGAGUUUAAAAGAUACUCAAUAGUAAAAUUACUUGAAAGCAAAAGCUAAAAUAAUUUACUUAGUUAAUGAAAAAGUUAUCUUAUUGAGAAUACAUGUAUAUUGGAUUUUGUUAUCAAGUUCCUGGUCUAUUCUCAUGGUUCAUCCAAUUUCCGCAGAGGAGAAAAACAUUAAAUAAUGUUUUCAUUGCCUUAGGGACAACUAGCUGUUAUAUUCAAACCAACAAAGCCCACAGAAGGCAAAACUCAAAAUAUACACAUGGAGUUACUUGCUCCUAAGUAUUAGAAAACAAGUUUAUAGAAUUAAAAUUAUUUAGGUAAAAACAAUCGAUAUAAAUUUGAACAAGGGUAAUACAGUUAAGGCAAUCAUCAAUAGUUUAUAAGAACAAAUCCUUGUUCACUAGGAUUGUGGGGUAAAGCAAAGGUGUUAAUCUUCAUUACAGUGCUUUACACAUAUUGGAUUUUCUUUAAGGUUUAACUGUACCCUAAAGAUAUUUAAUAGAUGGUUUGAUUUAUACGUGAUAUUAUGAACAAUGACAGUCACACACCUUGCAUAGCCACAGCCACUGAUGAUGCUCAUUUAAACCCUAGACACUUGAUUCUGAGCAUUUUGGUGGACUGCAAUUUCCUUUAAUACAACCUUCCUUGGGAGAAGGUUUCAGGAUGUCGUGUAUAGCCUAAAAUACCAAUGAGGAAGAGAAUCUACCUAUGGUCUCUUGUGAUAUUAAGAAAGAAAACUGCCACGUGUGGUAGCACAACCUGUAACCUCAGCAACAGCAACAAAAAUAAAAGAGAAAGAGGGAAGGAAGGAAGAGGAGAGGGAAGGAAGCAGGGAGAGAGGAAACAUAACAGAGGGCAUAUCUUAAAAUGAAACAGUUAAACAAAUUCAUGAUGAGGAGACUUGAGAGGUUUAAGGGACUAUUGCAAGUCUGCAUCAGAAUCUGCAGAGCAUACGUGAGAGUGGCUCUGAGGGCGAGCCUAUGGAUGGGGAGUUGAGGAAGGGGAGGUGUUAGUGCACAUGCAUGCAGUCAUGUGUCCUUCAUUCCUCUGGUUAUUGGAAGCAAAUGAACUGCUUGAGAAGUUUUGCUGCAGAGUGGAUAGGACAUCUCCAAGUGGUUUUGAAUCUACAUUUAAGGGCUCAUAAAAGUGUUUCAAUACUCAAUGAGAACUUAACGAUUUCUUAUUCUUUAUCCUUUAGCUUAGUUCUGAAACAUCAGUUAAGAGCAUAAAUCACUCAGCAACCAAGUGUAUCAUGCACUGAGUUUGGAGACGUUGGAGAGUUCUUUCACAGAUGUAUGUCUCCAGGGCUAAGUGAACCUGCUUUUCUACAGGCAUUAGACAACAGCAGGAGUGGUGGAGCCGUGGGGACUGUGGAGACUGAAAGCAGUGAGGACUUCCAUGAACUGGACCGGCCAGUCCAUAUAAUCUAAGCAGCAGAUUUUUGCCUGGGGAAAUAUGAGGGCCAGUGUAGCAAUACGUAACAGGUUUUAGUGCCUUCAAGUGAAGAAAAGAUUUCUUUUAUAUAUAUUUUUAUUUAAAUUAGAAACAAUCUUAUUUUACAUAUCAAUCCCAGUUCCCUCCCCCUUCCAUCUCUCCCAUGCCCUCCUCCAUCCCACCCUACCAUCCACUCCCCAGGAAAAGUGAGGACUUCCAUGGGGAAUCAUCAAAGUCUGCCACAUCAUUUGGGGCAGGGCCUAGGUCCUCCCCUUGUAUCUAGACUGAAAGAGUAUCCCUCCAUGGGGGAAUGGGCUCCCAAAGUCCAUCUGUGCACUAGGAAUGAAUACUGGUUCCACUGCAAGAGGCCCCAUAGACUGCCGAGGCCUCCUAACUGUCACCCACGUUCCUUCAGGGGGCCUGGUUUGGUCCUAUGCUGGUUCUCCAGCUAUCUGGCUGGAGUCCAUGAGCUCCCACUUGCUCAUGUCAGCUGUUUCUGUGGGUUUUCCCAGCCUGGUCUUGACCCCUUUGCUCAUCACUCCUCCCUCUCUACAACUGGAUUCCAGGAAUUUGACUCAGUGCUUAGUUGUGGGUGUCUGCUUCUGCUUCCAUCAGCUACUGGAUGAAGGCUCUAGGAUGGCACAUAAGAUAGUCAUCAAUCUCAUUAUAGGGGAAGGGCAUUUAAGGUACCCUCUCCACUAUUGCUUAGAUUCUUAGUUGGUGUCAUUCUUGUGGAUCUCUGGACAUUUCCCUAGUGCCAGAUUUCUCUUUAAACCUAUAAUGGCUCCCUCUAUUAAGGUAUCUCUUUUCUUGCUCUCCUCUAUUCAUCUCCCAACUCAAUCUUCCUGAUCUCUCAUGCUUCCCCCCUUCUCUUCUCCCCUCCUCCUUCUCCUACCUCCCACCCUCUUCCCCACCCCACCCCUGUGCUCCCAAUUUGUUCAGGAGCUCUUGUCCCCAAAAGAUUUCUUUAUCAUUAUAAAAUUAUGAAAAUAAACAAACAAAACUCAGUUAAGGAUCCAGUCUAUGGCUAUCUUCAUUGUCACCAGUUCUACUGACCUUUUUUUCCAGGGCACAUGGUGAAAGGAAGAAAUUCAAAUAAAAGUAGAUUUCUAAAUGGUUGUUUUUUAAUUUUUAUAUGCAUUAGGUUUAGGUGUUAUGUUGCAUAUAUGUAGUCCCAUCUGCUUGGAAGGCUAAGGUGGGAAGAUCUCUUGAGUCCAGAAGGUCAAGGACAGCCUGGAUAAGACUUAGGUACAUCUUGGGCAGAGGUUUGGCAUUUUGACAGGGAGUCCUUCUGAGACCAUCCCAUGAGGAGAGACAACCAUGGUCUGACACAUUACUGACAGUAGAAAAUUUCAUCUGCGUCCAACACAGUGCCAAUAGUGUAACAAACGCAUCAACUUCUAAGAAGCCAGAUGAGAGACUACAUAUGAGUAACCUCAGGCAACCUGCCUGAAUUGUCCACAACCCACGAUGAAAAUUGAAAUCCUUUCCAAGAACCUUGACUCACGCAUACAGACCUAAGAUCCAGCUAGGUUUAACUUUUACUUCUCCGCGCACCACGGCAUCAAAAUUCAUUUCCCCAAAGAGCAAGGCAAUGCCAGAUUCCAAAAGAAGAGAAAAACAACCGGGUCAAGAAACCUUCCCACAUCACAAGCACGCUCAAACGCAGCGAGCUCACGUCCGAGGGGCACGGCGCUAGGUGGCAGAAGAGAGCCGGAGACGCGCUAGGCCGACUGCAGCAGCCGCUGAGCAUCUCUUCUAGUUCCUUCCCACUUUACCCUGGCUCAGGCCUCAAAGGCUCAGCCGAAUUCUAACAACAGGUUCUUCAUUAAGGGGUACACUGCUACGAGAUAAACAUGGCUUUUUCAGCCGCUCAAUUGCAUCCUAUUUGAAGAGAUUAUGCCCAUAUUCCAGGCUCCUUUGCUGUACAACGCUGUUUAGCAAACCAGUUCAAAACCCUGGCCCCACCCGGCACCCCUUCCCUCAGCAACACAAGCACAUCUAGGUGAGUUUCGAGGUUUAGGGUCAUCUAGAGGCUGAAUUACUUACAAAUGUCGCCUCCCCAAGAUGCACUGAGCUUCAGGAUGGAACCUCUGCUCCGGAGGCAGCCCCCACUGGACCAGACAUCAGCUGAAGCCGCCCUAAGGCUUGAAUGAGGUCCUCACGAGGAGGAAUGCUAGGCCUUCCAGAUGUGCAAACCUCAACUAUUUGGUUUCUUAGGCAGCGGGUAUUUGAGUGGUUUCAGUGGCGUCCAAAUCUUCCAAACCCUUUCCUUAGCUUCAAAAGGGUACCAGGGCUUUCUUAAAGGGUUGUAAGGACUAAAGAAGGUAUGGGAUCCAUCGAUGAGUGUUUUGUGUGACAAUUGGUCACACUACUCAGUAAAUGUAGCUAUGGUUAUCAUCUCCCAAAUGAGACAGGAAGCAGGAAGGUUUUCUGAAGCAAGGUCCAGUCCUCAUUGACCUCACUAUUACCACUCUCGUUAUGCCCCCACCCCCACUCCAGGCUUUUGUUAGAUGGGGUGAAUUUGGUGUUUUCACCUGGAUGUGAUGAAAUGUCUUGCUUCUACAGUAUCUAUGGCAUAAUCUUCCCGGCUCCUGCUACAGGAAGCAGAUCCUGUGCUUUUGACAUGUGUCUCCAUCACUUAGAGCUAUGAAAUCCAGGGCAGCUGGCUUCAUCCUCCCGAGCUGCGUUUCACCAUCUGAAAAUGGAGGACAGCAUGAGGACUUUUCUCGAUAGGUCAUUUAUGAGACUGAGACGGCUAACUGUCACAGAUGACGUGAGAAGUCAGCAGAUGUUAGGUGCCGGCAGGGUUAGAUUUAUUAUGCCCACACGUCCACUCUCAGAGCUUGUGGGGCUAAGGUGGGCUUCUUAUGGUGACUAAGGAACGAAUUGGACCUGGCUUCUGGAAUCAUACUUCCUGGUGCUUCAAGCUCUUGAUGCAAAGGCAACACAUAGUUUAAUGAUGUUAGUUUAACCUGGGGGAGAAUCUAGGACGGAGAAAAUGCCCCUGUACCAUUACAGUUUGAAACAAGGGGUAUUGUGCUGCAGAUACGUGAAGCUAAAUCUCAGCUUUACUACUUAGUCCCCAGAUAACUUUGUCAAAGUUACAAUAUUCUCUCUGAACUUCGCUUUCUACAUUUAUAAAAAUAGGGAUCAUUGUAAACCCUGCAUAAUCAAGAAUGAAGAUUACAUGCAGAAAUCCACUUGAAAUGCUAGACAAGUUCCAGUAAAGGUUUGCUUUAUUAGUCAUGCUGGUAUUAAUACAUCUAAUAUUGCCAUCAAGCCUUGGAGAUAGGGAGAGCAUUCUGAAUGUAGCUCUUGCAUUAUGACUAGGAUUUGGAUAAAGCCAAGGAAAUCUGCUGGCAAGAAGAACAAACCACAAGAAAGGGGGAAAGUCAGCAGCAGCCACCGAGUAGCUGAGUUUGGACUCACUGAACACUUCAGGGUGUGUUUAGGAUGUCAUCUUUCUCAAUUAUUUGGGGCUGCAGUUUUUCCUGGGAAGAUGGACUAUUCAUGGGGAAACUAGGGAAGUCAGGAAAUAAGAACCUUGUUCAUUCAUUCAUUAGAGAAUUUGUGCUCCAAACACACAGAUACCCUAAAGUUCAUGAGAAUAACUGAAAAGGACAGGGAGAAACCAGCAAGACUGAAGACUCAGUGGGUAGAAACACGGAGCAUACGACCUGCCGCCCUGAGCUCAAUGCCUAGAACUCAUACAGAGGUGGAAAGGAAGAACCGAUUCCACAGUGUUGUCCUCUGCCCUCCGCACACACAGUGAUAAUGAAACAGUGAACAUUUAAAGGAGACUGUUUGAACUGGGGGGUAACUGCUUAAAAGAGAGUUUCAGGAAAUCAGAGAUUAAGAUGAGAGCAUUCUCCCUUCCUCAUUGCUGUUCCCAUAGUCCUUUGUUUGUAUCCUUCCUCUAAUGUUACAGCUGUGUUAAAUAUUAGUGUGUCCUCGAAAGCCUGCAAUCGAAUGUCCUUGAUGCAAAUAUGGCAUCUUUACCAUCUUAUCUCCAUGUUGUCUUGUGUAAUGUAACCUCAAUAUGUUUUGUAUUGAAUCGAAAACCUAUGAUUCUAUGCAAUAUUUGCUGUUCCUCUUUGCUCAAAAAUUGAACAUCAGGUUUCUGUGUGCCGAGUGAUUUUUCUUCUGGUGACAUAUAAAGUCAAUCCAUUAAAACAUUGAUUGGAAAGUCUGCACAUGCUCCUCUCUGUUAGUGAAGAAAGUUUUCUUCUUGGUUCCUUCAGCUAGCAAGUGCUUAGUAAUGUGGUGGUCCCUGGGACAGAGACAAAGAGCUGAUGUUCUCCACUUUGUUAAAGGACACAGUCCAAUCCCCAUGAAGCAGAGUAAUGGGUAGAAAGACUACACAACCUUCAAAUGGGCUUAAAGUUAUUUUCAAAUGCUUAACUACUGAUUGGGGAGGUCCUUCUGUGUAUGUUUAUCUUAUUGGUUGUUGAAUAAAGCACUGUUGGCCAAUAGGGGAGGAAAAUAGCUGGGACUAGGAGUCGAGGAGAAUUCUGGGAAAUGUAGGAAAGAGAAGUCUUGUGAUCCAGGCAGGAAGUAACAUAACAGGCAGACUCAGAAUAUAAGCAGGGACAAUCAGAAAGUUGAUCUCUUCCUCUUCCUCCUCCUCUCUGUGGAGCUGCCAUGUGAUCCCAGGAAGGCAGGACGCUUUCCACCAGCAUCCUCCAUAAGAUAAGUCUUAUAAAAUAUAAAGAUUAGUAGUUAUGGUUGAUAAAUAAGACUGAGUUAACAUUUAAGAAAUCCUAGUUAUUG